GCUGCAGUAGCUCAGGGGUAGAGCACUCCCUUGGUAAGGGAGAGGUCCGGGGUUCAAUUCCCCGCUGCAGCACCA
rnacentral:tRNA from 1 species